rnacentral:lncRNA from 1 species
GUUGGUUAAAUAAGGUAAAAUUCUUAAAUGGUGUAGAAAAACCUAAAACGCUCUUAUCGACGCCGUCGCUCGCUGCCGAAUUUAUUUUCCCGACUUCGUCCUUCGCACAAAAAGUUGGCCUUCUCGCUUCACCACCAUUUUGGCCUCAGAAAAGGAGAUAUUGCCUUCGUGCUUUCUCCUAACUCUAUUCAGCUUUCGGUCCUUUAUUUCUAUAUCUUCGCUCUCGGUGUCGUUACCUCUCCUAAAAAAUCAAGUGUCUUUAAACUUGAGAUUCUCCACCAAAUUCAGCUAUCGAAACAUGUACUUGUGUUCGUCACGUUGAAUGCUACUCAUACAAUUCCUAAUCUCAAAACAAUCGUACUCGACUCUUCCGAGUUUGAAUCGCUGAUGAUGAGUCUAGCUAACUGUGGAGAAAUGGAAGGAGGGAAGGUUUACCAAUUGGACCCUGGGACAAUUCUCUAUCCUCACGGACUACUGGUCGAGUUAAUGGAUUGGUUUUGGCUCAUCGAAAUUUCAGAUGCAUGGUGGCCCUAAGCCAUGCGGUUUACAUGAGCUGGAUGGCUGCUGCAACUUUCUUUUUUUUUGGUGCCUUAUUUUCAUGUUUAUGGUUUAUGUUAUUUCGUGAGAGCUUUAACUAUGGGAGUGGCGGUGGUGUCCAUAGGUAGAUUUGAUAUGAAGACAAUGUUGACAGUAAUUCAGCAGUGUAAGAUAGACUGCACCGGCUGUGGUGCUAAUAACGAAGGAUCCUAGGUUGUUAGAUGACUAAGAUUUUAGCUCUCUAGAUGUUGUAGGCUGCAGAGUUGCUUCGCUUAGGAAAAGCGUAGUUGAACUGUUUCGUGAACAAUUUCGAAAUUUGAGUUUAAGUCAACUUAGUUAAACACCAAACUUGGAUUUUUACCAUUAACCGGUGGUUAAUUUCUCAUAUUGGUUAUUCAAUGUGUAGCGUAUGAUCCACCAUUAAGUAAUAAAAAAAUACGGAUGGAACGUCACGUUAGCUGUCGGCAAAUGCUCCCCCGCUUUCAUUUCAAAUUUGGAUUGAAUUGCUAAAUGUUUUUAAAUCCUAACUUAUUGUACCAAGUAAAAUCAUUUUAAUUAAAAUGUAAAAAUUCAUAAAGGUUUAAAUUUUUUAUGCCAUUAUCCAAAAAUAUAUUAAAUGUCAUGAAAUACAUCAUAAUAGUUAAUUGACAAAAGGAGAGAAGCACCACGGUACUUCUCCGUUUCGGUUAGUCAAAUAACCUUAUAGGGGUGUUGGAGUUGGUGGUAUUAGAGCUAACGUUUAGGCCUUUCUAGGUGUUAAGGAGAAGUAACAAGUAUAAGCAAAUGUGUAUACCUUAUAGGUUAAGGUCUGGAUAUAACUCUACUAUAGGCUUUAGUAACUUGGCUAAGAAUGUUAUUUGACAUUCAACAUGUGUUAGAAGAUACAGGUGAUAGUCUAAAGUCGUGAUCGCGAUAAUCUAUUCAAUGCUACAAAUGUUUGUAUUGUAAGCUGCAGAUUACAUUAUGGACAUUGGAGCAUUGAGUGGAAAUUGUGUACAUCACUUUUAGGAAUCUGCUAGGAUAUAGUAGAUGCCUUAUAUCUGAUGCAGUUGUACCGUGACUGAAGAUACCAGGAGAAUAUGCACAUAAAAUAAAUGAUAGUUAUGAGAUGGUAGGUGUGAUUAAGGGGUUAAUUUAUCUCAUUAAUGAGAUAUUAGUUAGUCUUGCUAGGAAAAAAAGAAGGAAGAUUGUAGAGUUUAUCCAACUUUUAAGAACAUGACACAAAUAGUGUAUGAUUUCGUAAUGUACUUUUUGAUAAAUAUUUCGAUUCAUCACUUGGAAGUGGAUAGGGUUGCCUUUAAGAUUAUAUUGAAGGUCUAUGUUUAAAAACCGAAUUAAUCACUGCAAUAGUUUAUUCUUUUUCCCUUUUUAGAAGCAUUAUUAUAUUUGAUAAGAUUAGAUAAAUUAUUUUGGCGGAAUUGAUAUUAUUUGAGAUAAUAUUGUUGUUUAUUGGAAGUUUAGUUUUUAUCUAUAUUGAUGAUAUAGUUAGAUUUUAAACACUUUAAUCGGUACAAGUAAUUAUUAUUUAUAGGUUAUAUUGAUAUCUGUUUACUUAUAAAUAUGUGUAUAUAUAUAUAUAUAUGUUUUGAAUAUUGGUAUUUAGUUUCUUAAUACGUUGUGCAAAGUAUAGCUAUGAAAAUAUGAAAAUAUAAUUAUUUAUGUUUCCUUAGUUAUUUACUGGAUUCCAUGUAUAACUCUUAUUCCUCCAAUAGAUUGUUGAAUAAAUGAAUAAGACUAUUUUUGUAUAGCAUAGUUUGAUAUUGUGGUUGAUUAUUAGCAAGAAUAAAUUAUGUUAGUAUAAACUUUAUUUUAUUAUCUAUUGUUAAGAGCUACGUGGACCUGAUCCUCUAUUGGAGAUACGUAGGCAGGCUUCGGGUGCGGUCCAAAUAUAACAUAUGUUAAGACUUUAAUUAGCAAAUAGUAGCGAUGUAAAUUCAAGCCAUAUUAACAGAUUUUCAUGUUGAAUAAAUUACUUAUUGGAAAUUUAAUAAGUUUAAUAUGACUAAAAUAAUUAACAUACAUAUAAUUAUAUUUAUAAGAGUAUAGAUAAAAAUAAAGCCACAAAAGAAAUCACUGAAUUAGAUAAGAUGUAGGAGAACAAUUUUCAUAAAGAGACCAUGAGUGAAUUAGACCCUUAAUAUUGCCAAAACAUGACUAUAACUUAGGAUAGAAGCAUACAGAAGUACCUAAAAUGAAUAACUUGGAAAGCUUGUCAAAGGAACGAAAAUUGGCAUGCGAAUAGGUGCAAUUUGUGAUAUAGAACAGCAAUUGAAAGGCAGUGUCACAAUCUAAAUAUAAAACGUAAGUUGGCAUUUGAAAGGCAGUGUCGUGGUUCAGUUAUAAGGCAUAGACGAAGUGUCGCACCUAUCCCAAAUCCCCAUUUACUAGCAAACUAAAUGAAAUUGUUUUUUGAAAAAAUAAAGAAUAAUGGCAUAAAAAUCCAAAAUUUUAUUUCUUGGCACAAUAAAUUAGGAUUUAAAAAUAUUUGGCGAUUCUUUCCAAAUUUGAAUUGGAAGUGGGGGAGUAUCUGUCAGUAGCAGGCCAUAUUGUAUUUUUAUAUUACUUGAUGCUGGACUCUACGCUACACCAUGGAUAACCAAGGCGAGGUAUUAAUCGUUGGUUAAUUAAGGUAAAAUUCUUAAAUGGUGUAGAAAAACCUAAAACGCUCUCAUCGACGCCGUCGCUCGCUGCCGAAUUUAUUUUCCCGACUUCAUCCUUCGCACAAAAAGUUGGCCUUCUCGCUUCACCACCAUUUUGGCCUCAAAAAAGGAGAUAUUGCCUUCGUGCUUUCUCCUAACUCUAUUCAGAUUUCGGUCCUUUAUUUCUAUAUCUUCGCUCUCGGUGUCGUUACCUCUCCUAAAAAAUCAAGUGUCUUUAAACUUGAAAUUCUCCACCAAAUUCAGCUGUCGAAACCUGUACUUGUGUUCGUCACGUCGAAUGCUGCUCAUACAAUUCCUAAUCUCAAAACAAUCGUACUCGACUCUCCCGAGUUUGAAUCGCUGAUGAUGAGUCUAGCUCACUGUGGAGAAAUGGAAGGAGGGAAGGUUUACCAAUUGGACCCUGUGACAAUUCUCUAUCCUCACGGACUACUGGUCGAGUUAAUGGAUUGGUUUUGGCUCAUCGAAAUUUCAGAUGCAUGGUG